GUCCUUGAGUUCUGGCCCUGGGUGUGAUUGGAGGAAAGGGCUCAGCCAUCCUGGGGGCCUCAAGGGUUGGACCGGGUGGUGUCCUUGGGACUAGGAGGAUCAGAGUGGGCUGGUGGGAAACAGGAAGUCUUUGAGCUGAGACUGCUCUGCCUUCCCUGGAGCUCAGAUUCUCUCCUUUUUCCUUUUGACCUGAGUUCUCUCUGCCUUCCCUGGGACCUAAGAUCGCUCUGCCUUCCAGAAGCCCACUCUGUGCAUGCAGAUCCCAGGUUGGAGUCCUUUCCCUGAGGGCAAGGCCUGGGUCUUCCUAACUCCUAUGGGAUCUUGCCCUCUGUAAAUUCCAGUUGGGCAGCCUCCUGCCUAUGAAGAGAGGAGAAAGAGCUCUUCUCUGGGAUCCGUCUCCCUCCCCAGCUCAGUCUGCAGAGGAACAAAACCUACCCCAAGAAGGGAGCCUGGACUGAGAGAGAAUGGCUCCUGGGAGCAGCCAAGCCCCAGCCCAGGUGAGUGCAGUCUAUCCACAGACUUGGCCAACAUCAGCAAUCCAGUCAUUUCCAUAGACAUAGAGGAUGGUCUAUGAA